AGUCCGUUGGUCUAGUGGUAUGACGUUCGCUUCACAGAAUGAACACAGUUCAAUGCGCGAAAGGUCCUGGGUUCGAUCCCCUGACGGACUA